rnacentral:rRNA from 1 species
UACAGAGGGGGCAAGCGUUAUUCGGAAUUAUUGGGCGUAAGGGCGCGUAGGUGGCUUUUCAAGUGACGGGUGAAAUCCCUCGGCUUAACCGAGGAACUGCCUGUCAGACUGGAAGGCUUGAGACCGGGAGAGGUGAGUGGAAUUCCCAGUGUAGCGGUGAAAUGCGUAGAUAUUGGGAGGAACACCAGUGGCGAAGGCGGCUCACUGGACCGGAACUGACGCUGAGGUGCGAAAGCGUGGGGAGCAACAGG